AUGCAGGUGGAGCACGCAUGGGAGUUCCCCAUCCACCACGGUCACCGCCGUCAAGUGCUUCUUCACGGAGAUGUGAAGGACGCCAAGGACCUGCAGCUACUCAAGCUCAUUUGUGUGUGCUUCAUGUAUAUGCUCAUGCUUUUGAUGCUGCUGGACUUUGGAAUGCAUCCGCACAGUAACUUUCUGGGUAUGCUUGCAUUCAGGUUGUCAUUAGUUACGAGAUGGUACAUCAGUGUCUCCACUCUAGAGAUGAAUAUAAUACGCCAAAACACAGAAAUUAUUCCGUUCAAAGUGAAUUACACGGCAUAA
rnacentral:rRNA from 1 species